GAAAGAGAGAGAGAGAAAGAGAAGAGAGAAAGAGAUGUGGCGAUCUUGUUUUGCUAUUUUGCUGUGUUGUUGUACCAUCUCUUUCUGUUUUCCUAAUGAUCCUCUUU
rnacentral:ribozyme from 13 species